rnacentral:rRNA from 1 species
AAAUUGAAGAGUUUGAUCAUGGCUCAGAUUGAACGCUGGCGGCAGGCCUAACACAUGCAAGUCGAGCGGAAACGGCAGCAUUGAAGCUUCGGUGGAUUUGCUGGACGUCGAGCGGCGGACGGGUGAGUAACGGCUGGGAACCUGCCCUGACGAGGGGGAUAACCGUUGGAAACGACGGCUAAUACCGCAUAAUGUCUUAGUUCAUUACGAGCUGGGACCAAAGGUGGCCUCUACAUGUAAGCUAUCGCGUUGGGAUGGGCCCAGUUAGGAUUAGCUAGUUGGUAAGGUAAUGGCUUACCAAGGCGACGAUCCUUAGCUGGUUUGAGAGGAUGAUCAGCCACACUGGGACUGAGACACGGCCCAGACUCCUACGGGAGGCAGCAGUGGGGAAUAUUGCACAAUGGGGGAGACCCUGAUGCAGCCAUGCCGCGUGUGUGAAGAAGGCCUUCGGGUUGUAAAGCACUUUCAGCAGUGAGGAAGGUGGUGCACUUAAUACGUGCAUGGCUUGACGUUAGCUGCAGAAGAAGCACCGGCUAACUCCGUGCCAGCAGCCGCGGUAAUACGGAGGGUGCGAGCGUUAAUCGGAAUUACUGGGCGUAAAGCGCAUGCAGGCGGUUUGUUAAGUCAGAUGUGAAAGCCCGGGGCUCAACCUCGGAACCGCAUUUGAAACUGGCAGGCUAGAGUCUUGUAGAGGGGGGUAGAAUUUCAGGUGUAGCGGUGAAAUGCGUAGAGAUCUGAAGGAAUACCAGUGGCGAAGGCGGCCCCCUGGACAAAGACUGACGCUCAGAUGCGAAAGCGUGGGUAGCAAACAGGAUUAGAUACCCUGGUAGUCCACGCCGUAAACGCUGUCUACUUGGAGGUUGAGGUUUAAGACUUUGGCUUUCGGCGCUAACGCAUUAAGUAGACCGCCUGGGGAGUACGGCCGCAAGGUUAAAACUCAAAUGAAUUGACGGGGGCCCGCACAAGCGGUGGAGCAUGUGGUUUAAUUCGAUGCAACGCGAAGAACCUUACCUACUCUUGACAUCCAGAGAACUUUCCAGAGAUGGAUUGGUGCCUUCGGGAACUCUGAGACAGGUGCUGCAUGGCUGUCGUCAGCUCGUGUUGUGAAAUGUUGGGUUAAGUCCCGCAACGAGCGCAACCCUUAUCCUUGUUUGCCAGCACGUAAAGGUGGGAACUCCAGGGAGACUGCCGGUGAUAAACCGGAGGAAGGUGGGGACGACGUCAAGUCAUCAUGGCCCUUACGAGUAGGGCUACACACGUGCUACAAUGGCAGAUACAGAGGGCAGCGAAGCUGCGAAGUGGAGCGAAUCCCUUAAAGUCUGUCGUAGUCCGGAUUGGAGUCUGCAACUCGACUCCAUGAAGUCGGAAUCGCUAGUAAUCGUGGAUCAGAAUGCCACGGUGAAUACGUUCCCGGGCCUUGUACACACCGCCCGUCACACCAUGGGAGUGGGCUGCACCAGAAGUAGAUAGCUUAACCUUCGGGAGGGCGUUUACCACGGUGUGGUUCAUGACUGGGGUGAAGUCGUAACAAGGUAGCCCUAGGGGAACCUGGGGCUGGAUCACCUCCUUA